CAAGGAUGCUGGUGUUAUUGCCGGCCUCAAUGUGAUGCGUAUCAUCAAUGAACCCACAGCUGCUGCUAUUGCUUACGGUCUUGACAAGAAGGCUACCAGUGUUGGUGAGAAGAAUGUUCUCAUCUUUGACUUGGGUGGUGGUACCUUCGAUGUUUCUCUCCUCACAAUUGAAGAGGGUAUAUUUGAGGUGAAGGCCACGGCAGGUGAUACCCAUCUUGGUGGUGAGGACUUCGACAACCGAAUGGUUAACCACUUUGUGCAGGAAUUCAAGAGGAAGCACAAAAAGGACAUUAGUGGAAACCCGAGGGCCCUCAGGAGGUUGAGGACAUCAUGUG
rnacentral:misc_RNA from 1 species